UUGAACGCUGGCGGCAGGCCUAACACAUGCAAGUCGAGCGGUAGCACAGAGAGCUUGCUCUCGGGUGACGAGCGGCGGACGGGUGAGUAAUGUCUGGGAAACUGCCUGAUGGAGGGGGAUAACUACUGGAAACGGUAGCUAAUACCGCAUAAUGUCGCAAGACCAAAGUGGGGGACCUUCGGGCCUCAUGCCAUCAGAUGUGCCCAGAUGGGAUUAGCUAGUAGGUGGGGUAACGGCUCACCUAGGCGACGAUCCCUAGCUGGUCUGAGAGGAUGACCAGCCACACUGGAACUGAGACACGGUCCAGACUCCUACGGGAGGCAGCAGUGGGGAAUAUUGCACAAUGGGCGCAAGCCUGAUGCAGCCAUGCCGCGUGUGUGAAGAAGGCCUUCGGGUUGUAAAGCACUUUCAGCGGGGAGGAAGGCGUUAAGGUUAAUAACCUUGGCGAUUGACGUUACCCGCAGAAGAAGCACCGGCUAACUCCGUGCCAGCAGCCGCGGUAAUACGGAGGGUGCAAGCGUUAAUCGGAAUUACUGGGCGUAAAGCGCACGCAGGCGGUCUGUCAAGUCGGAUGUGAAAUCCCCGGGCUCAACCUGGGAACUGCAUUCGAAACUGGCAGGCUAGAGUCUUGUAGAGGGGGGUAGAAUUCCAGGUGUAGCGGUGAAAUGCGUAGAGAUCUGGAGGAAUACCGGUGGCGAAGGCGGCCCCCUGGACAAAGACUGACGCUCAGGUGCGAAAGCGUGGGGAGCAAACAGGAUUAGAUACCCUGGUAGUCCACGCCGUAAACGAUGUCGAUUUGGAGGUUGUGCCCUUGAGGCGUGGCUUCCGGAGCUAACGCAUUAAAUCGACCGCCUGGGGAGUACGGCCGCAAGGUUAAAACUCAAAUGAAUUGACGGGGGCCCGCACAAGCGGUGGAGCAUGUGGUUUAAUUCGAUGCAACGCGAAGAACCUUACCUGGUCUUGACAUCCACAGAACUUAGCAGAGAUGCUUUGGUGCCUUCGGGAACUGUGAGACAGGUGCUGCAUGGCUGUCGUCAGCUCGUGUUGUGAAAUGUUGGGUUAAGUCCCGCAACGAGCGCAACCCUUAUCCUUUGUUGCCAGCGGUUAGGCCGGGAACUCAAAGGAGACUGCCAGUGAUAAACUGGAGGAAGGUGGGGAUGACGUCAAGUCAUCAUGGCCCUUACGACCAGGGCUACACACGUGCUACAAUGGCAUAUACAAAGAGAAGCGACCUCGCGAGAGCAAGCGGACCUCAUAAAGUAUGUCGUAGUCCGGAUUGGAGUCUGCAACUCGACUCCAUGAAGUCGGAAUCGCUAGUAAUCGUAGAUCAGAAUGCUACGGUGAAUACGUUCCCGGGCCUUGUACACACCGCCCGUCACACCAUGGGAGUGGGUUGCAAAAGAAGUAGGUAGCUUAACCUUCGGGAGGGCGCUUACCACUUUGUGAUUCAUGACUGGGGUG
rnacentral:rRNA from 1 species